ACACGACUACAUUAGAUACCCCGGUAGUCCUAGCCGUAAACGAUACUCGCUAGGUGUCGGCCACGGUGCGACCGUUGUCGGUGCCGUAGGGAAGCCGUGAAGCGAGCCACCUGGGAAGUACGGCCGCAAGGCUGAAACUUAAAGGAAUUGGCGGGGGAGCACCACAACGGGUGGAGCUUGCGGUUUAAUUGGACUCAACGCCGGGAAGCUCACCGGAUAAGACAGCGGAAUGAUUGCCGGGCUGAAGACCCUGCAUGACCAGCUG
rnacentral:rRNA from 1 species